rnacentral:rRNA from 1 species
GUGGGGAAUAUUGGACAAUGGGCGAAAGCCUGAUCCAGCCAUGCCGCGUGUGUGAAGAAGGUCUUCGGAUUGUAAAGCACUUUAAGUUGGGAGGAAGGGCAGUAAGUUAAUACCUUGCUGUUUUGACGUUACCAACAGAAUAAGCACCGGCUAACUUCGUGCCAGCAGCCGCGGUAAUACGAAGGGUGCAAGCGUUAAUCGGAAUUACUGGGCGUAAAGCGCGCGUAGGUGGUUCAGCAAGUUGAAGGUGAAAUCCCCGGGCUCAACCUGGGAACUGCCUCCAAAACUACUGAGCUAGAGUACGGUAGAGGGUAGUGGAAUUUCCUGUGUAGCGGUGAAAUGCGUAGAUAUAGGAAGGAACACCAGUGGCGAAGGCGACUACCUGGACUGAUACUGACACUGAGGUGCGAAAGCGUGGGGAGCAAACAGGAUUAGAUACCCGGGUAGUC